rnacentral:rRNA from 1 species
UACGUAGGGCGCAAGCGUUGUCCGGAAUUAUUGGGCGUAAAGAGCUCGUAGGCGGUUUGUCGCGUCUGCUGUGAAAACCUAAGGCUCAACCUUGGGCUUGCAGUGGGUACGGGCAGACUAGAGUGCGGUAGGGGUGACUGGAAUUCCUGGUGUAGCGGUGGAAUGCGCAGAUAUCAGGAGGAACACCGAUGGCGAAGGCAGGUCACUGGGCCGCAACUGACGCUGGAG